rnacentral:rRNA from 1 species
CCUACGGGAGGCAGCAGUGGGGAAUAUUGGGCAAUGGACGGAAGUCUGAACCAGCCAUGCCGCGUGAAGGAAGACGGCUCUAUGAGUGGUAAACUGCUUUUGUACAAGGGUAAACCUGAAUACGUGUAUUCAGCUGAAAGUACUGUACGAAUAAGGAUCGAUUAACUCCGUUCCAUCAGCCGCGGGAAUACGGAGGAUCCAAGCGUUAUCCGGAUUUAUUGGGGUAAAAGGGUGCUUAGGCGGUUUGAUAAGUGGGAGGUGAAACGUCCGAGCUUAACUCGGGAACUGCAUCUAAUACUGUUGAUCUAGAGAGUAGAUGGGGUAGGCGGACUGUAUGGUGUGGCGGGAAA